rnacentral:rRNA from 1 species
GAAGGCUGAAAUUCGCCUUCAUGAAGCUGGAAUUGCUAGUGAUGGCAGGUCAGCAUACUGCCGUGAAUACGUUCCCGGGCCUUGUACACACCGCCCGUCACACCAUGAGAGUUGGAAAUACCCGAAGCCUGUGAGCUAACAGUAAUGAGGCAGCAGUCGAAGGUAGAGCCAAUGAUUGGGGUGAAGUCGUAACAAGGUAGC